rnacentral:rRNA from 1 species
AACGAACGCUGGCGGCAUGCCUAACACAUGCAAGUCGAACGAGACCUUCGGGUCUAGUGGCGCACGGGUGCGUAACGCGUGGGAAUCUGCCCUUGGGUUCGGAAUAACUCGCCGAAAGGCGUGCUAAUACCGGAUGAUGUCGUAAGACCAAAGAUUUAUCGCCCAGGGAUGAGCCCGCGUAAGAUUAGGUAGUUGGUGAGGUAAAGGCUCACCAAGCCGACGAUCUUUAGCUGGUCUGAGAGGAUGAUCAGCCACACUGGGACUGAGACACGGCCCAGACUCCUACGGGAGGCAGCAGUGGGGAAUAUUGGACAAUGGGCGAAAGCCUGAUCCAGCAAUGCCGCGUGAGUGAUGAAGGCCUUAGGGUUGUAAAGCUCUUUUACCCGGGAUGAUAAUGACAGUACCGGGAGAAUAAGCUCCGGCUAACUCCGUGCCAGCCGCCGCGGUAA